GGGACACGUGGUAUCCUGUCUGAAUAUGGGGGGACCAUCCUCCAAGGCUAAAUACUCCUGACUGACCGAUAGUGAACCAGUACCGUGAGGGAAAGGCGAAAAGAACCCCGGCGAGGGGAGUGAAAAAGAACCUGAAACCGUGUACGUACAAGCAGUGGGAGCACGCUUAGGCGUGUGACUGCGUACCUUUUGUAUAAUGGGUCAGCGACUUAUAUUCUGUAGCAAGGUUAACCGAAUAGGGGAGCCGAAGGGAAACCGAGUCUUAACUGGGCGUUAAGUUGCAGGGUAUAGACCCGAAACCCGGUGAUCUAGCCAUGGGCAGGUUGAAGGUUGGGUAACACUAACUGGAGGACCGAACCGACUAAUGUUGAAAAAUUAGCGGAUGACUUGUGGCUGGGGGUGAAAGGCCAAUCAAACCGGGAGAUAGCUGGUUCUCCCCGAAAGCUAUUUAGGUAGCGCCUCGUGAAUUCAUCUCCGGGGGUAGAGCACUGUUUCGGCAAGGGGGUCAUCC
rnacentral:rRNA from 1 species